AUUGAACGCUGGCGGCAUGCCUUACACAUGCAAGUCGAGCGGCAGCGCGGGGGCAACCCUGGCGGCGAGCGGCGAACGGGUGAGUAAUGCAUCAGAACGUGUCCUCUUGUGGGGGAUAACCAGUCGAAAGACUGGCUAAUACCGCAUGAGAUCGAAAGAUGAAAGCGGGGGAUCGCAAGACCUCGCGCGAGAGGAGCGGCCGAUGCCGGAUUAGCUAGUUGGUGGGGUAAAGGCCUACCAAGGCGACGAUCCGUAGCUGGUCUGAGAGGACGACCAGCCACACUGGGACUGAGACACGGCCCAGGCUCCUACGGGAGGCAGCAGUGGGGAAUUUUGGACAAUGGGGGCAACCCUGAUCCAGCCAUGCCGCGUGUGUGAAGAAGGCCUUCGGGUUGUAAAGCACUUUCGGACGGAACGAAAUCGCGCGGGUGAACAAUCCGCGUGGAUGACGGUACCGUAAGAAGAAGCA
rnacentral:rRNA from 1 species